CACAGUAUAGUCAGUAAUAAAGCUGCUCAGAUAUUAUGGAGCCCUCUGGGAGGAAGGAGUGUUCAGACCACUCACCUCAACACUACAGAGUAAACGUUUGUUUAGAGAGAUCCUCAACACCACCAACAGUGGAGCAAGAUGGCGUCGACAUGCAAGAUGGCGUCGACAUGCAAGAUGGCGUCGACAUGCAAGAUGGCGUCGACAUGCAAGAUGGCGUCGACAUGCAAGAUGGCGUCGACAUGCCAGCUCUGCUCCUAAGGAACUUUGCAGUAUUUUUUGUUGUUGUUGGCGUUUUAACUCAUCCCAGAAACUGCUCCAAGUUGCCGCUGGUGGAGAAGAGGUAUUCAGAGUGGACUACUAGUCUGACUCAGGAGGAGAGGAGAUGGAGAGGAGAGGAGAGGAGAGUUGCCGUUGGUGGAGAAGAGGUAUUCAGAGUGGACUACUAGUCUGACUCAGGAGGAGAGGAGAUGGAGAGGAGAGGAGAGGAGAGGAGAGGAGAGGAGAAUUGCCGUUGGUGGAGAAGAGGUAUUCAGAGUGGACUACUAGUCCGACUCAGGAGGCGUGCACACCAUCCACCGCUACCAAGUAUAUUACUCCCUGCAUUUCGCCACAGCCGCAAUAACAUCUGCUAAAUAUGUGUAUGUGACCGAUAAAAUUUGAUUUGAUUUGAAGAGCAGAGAUACUGAUCACAGUGAGGCUAAACUAUUUAAUCUACAGUAUUACAGUAUCUACAGGGUUGAACUGAGACAUGGAAGAGAAGUCUGUUUCUGUAAUCCAUGUGAAAGAGAAAAGAGCAGUCAGAGAAUUACAUGAAGCUAAGCGUUGCAUGUUACAUUGGGAAAAGAUUAUCCCAGGCCAGCCAGAUGUGUCUUUCUUGGAGGGAGCUGGGCCGACGGGGCCGAUCAGAACAAGCUGUAAGAAGCCGAGAGACAGGCCGUGCAGCGACAAGCAGUCAUAUCCUGCGGCUGGGAGGCAGAGAACAGCGGGGAGUCUUACACUGAGUCACUCACCGUCUCUCUCUCUGUCUCUGAAUAUGCAACAUUUCAGGUUUAGGAGAAUUCAGUUAUUGUUGACAUACAUGUGUUUCCCAUGCCAAUAAAGCCUUUUGAAUUAUAUAUAUAGAGAGAAAAUCCAUUGAAAAAGACUAAUAAAUAUAUAAAGGUU
rnacentral:lncRNA from 1 species